rnacentral:ncRNA from 3 species
CCUUCGGAAUUUGAAGCUAGAGGUGUCA